rnacentral:piRNA from 1 species
GAGCACGUUGUUAUUUUGGCAGAACUGAAU